rnacentral:rRNA from 1 species
AACGAACGCUGGCGGCAUGCCUAACACAUGCAAGUCGAACGAGACCUUCGGGUCUAGUGGCGCACGGGUGCGUAACGCGUGGGAACCUGCCCUUAGGUUCGGAAUAACUCCCCGAAAGGGGUGCUAAUACCGGAUAAUGUCUUCGGACCAAAGAUUUAUCGCCUUUGGAUGGGCCCGCGUUGGAUUAGCUAGUUGGUAGGGUAAAAGCCUACCAAGGCGACGAUCCAUAGCUGGUCUGAGAGGAUGAUCAGCCACACUGGGACUGAGACACGGCCCAGACUCCUACGGGAGGCAGCAGUGGGGAAUAUUGGACAAUGGGCGAAAGCCUGAUCCAGCAAUGCCGCGUGAGUGAUGAAGGCCUUAGGGUUGUAAAGCUCUUUUACCCAGGAUGAUAAUGACAGUACCGGGAGAAUAAGCGCCGGCUAACUCCGUG